CCCUAGUAAGGGACUCGGCAAAAUAAUCAUUAUAUAUAUACAUCAUACGUACCCGGCCCUCUAGUGAGGGACUCGGUGAAAUAGUCAUCACAUCAUCUCCGUCAUCAUCAUCAUCAUAACCAUCCUCAUCACCAAUCAUAUAUAUAAUAUACAUACCCGGCCCUCUAGUGAGGGAAUCGGUGACAUAUGCAAGAAACUCAGCACGAACAUUACUCGGCCCGGGACUCGGUGAAAU
rnacentral:lncRNA from 1 species